UACGAAGGGGGCUAGCGUUGCUCGGAAUUACUGGGCGUAAAGCGCACGUAGGCGGCGCGGUAAGUCGGGUGUGAAAUCUCGGAGCUUAACUCCGAAACUGCAUUCGAUACUGCCGUGCUUGAGGACUGGAGAGGAGACUGGAAUUUACGGUGUAGCGGUGAAAUUCGUAGAUAUUCGCAAGAACACCAGUGGCGAAGGCGGCUCACUGGCCCGGUACUGACGCUGAGGUGCGAAAGCGUGGGGAGCAAACAGG
rnacentral:rRNA from 1 species